UGUGUGUGUGUGUGUGUGUGUGUGUGGAGGGGGGGAUAUAAUAUUCCACACACACACACACACACACACACACCACAU
rnacentral:miRNA from 14 species